CAAUACCAUUUUUUUUUUUUUACAAUCAGAUACAUUAGUUUGCCAAGUGUGCUGCUGGAUGUUCAUUCAGCACUAGUGUUUAACAAAAGCCUGGUUUUAAAAUCAUAGGAUAUGAGUUGGGGGGCCUUGAGGAUGCUGAAUACUGACUAAGAGGAGAGAACUCACAUUACAUGGAGACCAUGGUCCCUAUACCAGAAACAUUGAGAGUAGAGAGAAGCAAAGCUAGCAUCGUGGAGCCAGUCCCUUUAUCCAGGGUCUUAGAGGGAUACAGUCUUCUGUAGAAAUUAAAUAAAGACUGAAUUCUUCAAUGGGUAUUUUGAGAAGAGAGCCACCAUAAGCUUAUACACUGUGCAUUGCAAAAUGUUACUGCCUCUGGGUGGACAGGUUUUAAAAAGACAUUUUUUUUUCCUCCUGGCAUGGCUGACAGAGGGAAGGUUAGGUUUCAAUCCCAUCUUUCCCUUCCCUUGCCCAGUGCUUCUUUAUGUGCACAACCUGCACAACUGUGUGCGGUUUGCAAACACGCAUAGGCAAAGACUAACAGCUUCUGAAACAAACUCUGAAUCAAAGAGGGAGCAUAUUAAUGCAGAUGGCAGAGGAGGUGAGCAGCAUGGGCAGAUAGAAGCAUCACAGAGACUGCAAGAAGAAUGUGCCAGACCAGCUCAUAGUGGCCACACUGAUUAAGAAUUAUCAUCAACUCUUUAGGAUUUGGAAACUUGGAAACACAUUGUAUGUUCUUCCUGGUUUGUUAUAGAGUAUGUGUAUGUACUUCUUUCUCUUAAAAAUAUUUAUUUUUAAAUAAUUGACUUAUAAAAUUAUAUGUAUUUAUCAUGUAUAACACAGAAUUUUGAAGUACAGUCCUGUGUCAUAAGGAUAUGUUCUGAGAAAUCCAUCAAUUUUGUCAUUGUAUAAACAUGAUAGAGUGUAUUUACACAAACCUAGGUGGUAUAAACUACUACACACCUAGGCUACAUAAUGUAGCCUAUUGCUCCUAGGCUAUAAACCUGUGUAACAUGCUACUGUACUAAAUACUAUAGACAAUUGUCACAUACUGGUGAGUAUUUGUGUAUCAAAACAUAUCUAAAUAUAGAAAAGAUGCAGUAAAAAUAUGAUAUUACAAUCUUAUGAGACCACUAUAGUAUAUGCGGUCCAUCAUUGAUUAAAACAUUGUUAUAUGGUGCAUGACUGUAUAUAUGCAUUGUGGAAUGGUUAAAUCUAGCUAACUAACAAAUGUGUUACAUCACAUAGUUAUUAUUUUUGAGGUGAGAACACAAUAUUCACUCUCAGCAUUUUUUAAGAAUACAGUAUAUUAACUAUAGUCACCAUGCUGAAUGGUAGAUCUCUGGAACUAAUUUCUCCUAUCUAAGUGUGGUUAUGUACCCUUUGACCAACAUCUUUCUAACCCCACCCCACAAACACCCCAUAAUAAAGCCUCUUGUAACCACCAUUGUACUCCUUUUUCUAUGAGAAUGGCCUUCUUUGUCUCUCCUUUUGUCUGUCCUUACAGUUUUUUUAAUUAAUCUCUAUUUUGCCUGAUAUUAAUACAAGUAUACUUCUUCCUGCUCUCUUUUAGUUUCUAAUUGCAUAGAAUAUCUUUUUCUGUUCCUUCAUUUUCAGUCUGUGUGUCUUUAUAGGUAAAGUGAGUCUCCUGUAGGCAACAGAUAGUUGGGUUGGCUCUUUUUUUUUUUUAAUCCAUUCCAGCCACUUUGUGUAUUUUGAUCAGAGAACUUUAUCCUUUUACAACCAAGGUAAUUAUUAGUAGAUAAGGACUUACUACUGACAUUUUGUUUAUUGCUUUCUCAUUGUUUGAUAGAUUGUUGUGUGUGGUUUUUAUUACAGGGCGUAUCUUGAGUCAUCUCAAUUAAUCCUGAUGCUCUUGGUUCCUACAUCGCUGUUAGCAUUGAGGAUGUUAGAGUGCAGAGUAUCAAAACCAGCAUUUAUCAGAAAGAAAGGAUGUUUACAUAAACAUUAAGGCAUGGAAGAGAGUCAGUGGGGUGGGGGUGGAAAAGGAAAGAAUAUUCUAGGCUGAGAAAAUCACUGAAGCAAGAAAAUGGUGUAUACGAGCAUGGGUUCUUUUAGAAACUAUCUUAACACCUGAUCAAAUGUGGGUGUUUCUGAAAAUGCUGAGCUGAUUACGGCACAUUCUCUGUCCUGAAGAAGCUGAAAGCAUUUUUACAUCUACCCUAUUUGAUCCUCAUACAAAUUUUAUAAAUUAGAUAAAUAUCUAAUUUUAUUUAUCUAAUUUUAUAAAUUAGAUAAAUAUCUAAAUUAGACAAACAUCUUAAUAACGAAAAAUCACUGAAGAGGGAACCUUAAAAAAAGUACUUUAAAAAAGUACACAAGACUUAAGUUUACACAACUAACUCUAGGAAUGCUGGGACUGGAACCCAGCUGCCUGGCAAGUACCGUGGUGUUUUCAACCAGAUCAGAGAGGGGUGAGCUUUUUCCUUUUUCCUGCUUCUUCCCCAGAGCAGUAAACUAAAAAAAAAAAAAAAAAAAAAAAA